rnacentral:misc_RNA from 1 species
GACCCUACACGACCGCCCCCCGCCGCCACGCGGCACCACUGCACAGCACCACCUACUCAUCUUACUCUUCUUCUGUUCUGCAUGUCUUUUUUGGGGGCACGCAAGGAAAGCGCUGCGCCACUUGUUUCGUUUCGCAGCUCUUCCACGGGAGCAGGCUGCGCGUGCGUUGUACAGGUCCGCGUGCGUGCCGUGCGUAAGUGCCCCUUACGCUUCCCCCACCACCGUAGAGACGCACGACGGUAGAGGGGCACAACGACAGACAGACCUGACGCCGUUGUCUCCUUGAGAAAAGGGCAAACCAUACAUACAUAUAUAUCAGACGCUUCUGUACGGCUGCACCCCCCCUCCUCCUCCUCCUCCAUCCCCCCUCCCUCUCUCGAUACGCCUCGAAAAGCGUGCAAAGUAAUAGGGUCGCCUCAGCCGCGAGCUGCAGCCUGUGCACCAUUCGCCCCCCCCCCCGCGCCCACCCUAUGCGUCGCGCAUCCGCCGCACCUGCGAUCGAUGCCGCGAUAGAUGUAGCGGACCCGCGCGUCGCGCCUGCGGUGCAGCAGCUCUCUGCCGUCGCCAAGCGUGUAUACGCGGUGUGGCAGCGAAUGGGCAUCGCCUCGCGCGACCGGCAGCAAAAGUGGAAUGCGUUUCUCUUCGGUGCUCUCCUGCCCUUUCUCGACGACUUCGGCGCCCUGCAGGAGGCCGCUGAGUCCAACGCGGCUGCGGAGAACGACGCACUGCUGCGGGACGUGUGCCACCUCGCCGUGAGGCUGGAUGAAGCGCCGCGGCAGCCGGAGGUGGCGUCGAUCGUGUCGCUAUUGAGAGAGCACUACGCACAGACGCAGCAGCGGCACCCGUUCGCCGUCGACGGAGGCAGGAGUAGCAACAGGGGCGAUGAAGCGGGGUCACUGGACACGGCAUCGGAGUCGGCGGCCGCUCGGCGGAGCAACGGCGACGUUGGUGGCGAUGCGGAAGCAGGCAUCUCCCCGUCACGCGGCAAAGAGUUUAUGUAUCUCUCUCUCCCCUCUUUCGUCACACUCAUCAACGCCUCGUGCCCGUCGGGGCAGCGUGGCGAGAACGACGACGAGCAGCACCAGCAAGAGCGCGCCCAUCAGGGAGGCGGCGUGGGCUUAGAGGCCGAUGAGGGCAACGGCGAGCAGGGAGCAAACUUCAGCGGUGGCGAUGCGCACAUCGCCGCGGCUCAUGCCCUGCGUCGCCUGCUUCACAACAACACUCACGAAGGCGUGCGUCGGCAACUGCAAGCGGAACUCGGGCGGCUACAGCGCCUCGCCGACAAUCGGCUGCAAGUGCUGCAGCUGCUUUGCAAGCAGCGUGCGAUGAUCAACCGCAGCGCGCAGGAGCAGGUGGUGCUGCGUGCGGCGUAUCGUGCCAAGUACCUCAGCAACGAGGAGGAAGGUGGCAGCAGCGAGCUCGGAAAGCGGGUCAGCCUUGAUUGGGAAUCUGCGGUGGAUCGACGGCUGCAGACAACUGUCGCCGUUGGCGCGACGUCCACGCGCUCCUCCGGCUUCGUCUCGCCGCUGACAUCGCCCAAGACGUCCGGCGUCGCUGCAGCCUUGGUAGCGCCGUCAAGCGACAAGUGCGAAGAGAGCAGCAGCAGCUCUGGUGGCAAUGAAGAGGCAGACGCCAUCGCGUCUCUUAUCAACCGCCCCACAACCUCGCUGCAGGACGCCACGCGCGAGGAACUGCAGCUGCUCUUGUGUGCUGCCUCGUGCUCCCUCGACACACAGUACAGCUUGAGUGGCGGCGACAGCAACGUCGAUCACGCGCCGCUCAAGCACGGCGGUGAAGGCGAGCUAGGUAGUUCGGCGUGGCCGACGCGCAGCUCUACAACAGUGACGACGGAGGCACGCAUCACCGCACAGACAGCGACGUCGUCCACCGGCGUCCUCGCCGCAGCCAAGGGCGCUGGUGUUCACGCCAAGACGGUAGUGAGGAGCCCCGUUGGCACGCCACCGGGCGAGGCGGCGCGCGCGACGGUGCUGGAGGUGGACGUGUCGAGCAUAACUGCAUACGGCACCCACCAAGAUCUCACUCUCACGCGCAUUCAAGCCGAAGCCGAGGCCAUUGUACGCAGCAUCGACGAGCACAACUGUCUCAUGCAGCUGGAGGCGCAGGAGGAGCUGCACGCACUCGACACGCUAGAGGUGUUGUGGCGGGCCAUGUCUGUGCAAAGGCCCUCUCCAAAGGCCUCGUCACCCUUUUCCCUUCCGCGCCGGUGCAAGGAGGAGGCGGAGAGCCAAGGCAAGGCCAGUGGCUCUAUCCAUAGCAACAGCCCUGACGAGAAUGCCGUCGCAUGGCAUGCCAAGACCUCUAUCUGCUCGCCGCCUCUCGCCCCUUUCAAGCCGGAGCCGUACAGGCAAACGACGGAGGAGAUAGUCGCGCGGUACAGGCAGCUGCACGCCGCGUACGUGGCGGAUGUGGCCGCGCAGCAGCAGCAGCAGCCGUGCCCUGCAGCCGGCGUGGAACUGCUUCACGCGAUGCCGACGCCGCCGCCAUCGCUGAAGAGCAGCACGAGACUCACGUCAUCGGCGGCGGUGGAUGAUAGCGACAGCGCCCGUGGACAGAAGAAUGCGCACCGGACGGGCGGCGGCUUGUACCUGCCGCCAGCUGUCCGCCAAGUCCUGCGCGCCGCCUCGUACGCGCCGGUGCUGGACUACGUCCGCCGCGCUCGAGCUGCCUUUCAGGCUCACCUCAGCACACAGCAGGACAUCCUGGUAGAGAAGACAAUGGGCCGGUUGCGCGACGUCUACGAGGCCUACUACGCGGCGACGGGCGACAAGACGUACGCGGUGGCACCGGACGGGGAGCUACGCGUGGCGAUGGAGGAAGAACUACUGGAGACGUUCCAGUCAGAGGAGUCGGCGGUCCCCGCGGCACGACAGCAGCAGCGGAGCGAUGAGGUCAACGAGGAGAAUGCAAGCGUUGUCGAGGCGCGUGAGGCGGCGGCCGUCGCUGCACCACCACCACCAUCGUCGCCGUCUGGCAAGGUGCUCCUCAGCUUUCAGCGCCACCUGACCGCGUGCCAGCAGGUGCGGGAGCAGGCGGCGGACGAGAUUGAGUUUUUGCGUCUGCGGCUGCAUAUCAUCGAGCAAGCCGCGCCGCUGGUGCACAACUAUCAGGAAAUUGUCCGGGAGGAGGCUGAGAUGCGCGCCACGAGCCGCGAGCGGCUCUUGAAUAAGAAGGUGAACAUGGCGAAGCAGCUGCUGCAGGAAGAGAAAGCGCGGCGGCGCGUGGCCAAGGAGCUUCCCCGCAUUGUGAACCACUUGAAGGAGCUCGUCGCGGCGUGGGAUGCCCUGCAAGCCGCCACCGACCCGCGCGAGGACACCGCGGAUGUGGGUAGCUGCCACAACAUUGGCCCUGAUGCCCCGGUGUCGUCUCCACCAACAUCGGCCAAGGCGGAGCUGUGGAUCCACGGUCAACGUGUGCGAGACCUGCUGACAGCUUCGCAGAGCACAGCGGCACCGCUCGUUUCGCGCGUGCGCGGUCGCAGUGCGUCGAGCCCGCCGCCCUUGCGGUCACAUCCACCUGUCCGCUCCGUCUCCCCAGUCCCCCCGGCACUCGUACGACACCGCGUAGAGAAGCGACUCGCAGGCCCUGAUCGCGGGGCGUCGGCACACCCCUCCCGAAAAGGCUCACCGACGCCAGCGCACACGCCUCUCUCCCGCCGCGGCACAACGCCUUUAGUGGCAGCCUCUGCAGCGUCGCAGCCUCUCCCGGGGCGCCACCGGGCGGCUGGGGUGAGCAGCAGAGGUGGGAAGAAUGGCGCAGCGUCCGCAGAACGACCUGGUGACCCUCUGCGAUCCCACAACAACACUACAUCGCCUGCGGUACGGUCGCACACACCGCCCCGCUCGCAGCCGACAGCGCGCUCGCACAAGCCUGCCUCCUUCAGACCCCUACCGCCUCGAGUGCCAUCCAGUUCCCCACCGCCGCUGUUGCCACAUCGUGGCCUCUCCCCUGUCUCCUCUAACAGGAACCUGCAGACGCAUAAGAGGAUCGCCCACCCAUCCACGAGCGCCUCACCCUCGUCAAAAUCAGCCACCACCACCACAAGAUUCGACAGAGCACCCGUUGCUUAACGGAACGGGGUUCGGGUGGCCACGUGUGUCUGUCGGUGCUGCAUGCACUACGGCCUUGCAUCGUCUCUGCGUAUCCGCUUUUCGGCGCCCACUUACUAGAAUGGUUGCUGCUGCUGCUGCUGCUGCUGUUGUUGUUGUUCUUCACCUUCCCCACCCCCAACACACACGCACACUCAUCUCUAUCCUCCCUCUCACAGAUAGAGGGGACAAGGCACGGGUGGGGAGGGGCAGCACACACGAACAGCGCACACACCCUCCCUCUCCCCCCCCCUCUUCCUGUACCCAUAAAUUCCUCCGCACACCCUCCCCCUUUUCGUGCGCCUCUUCGUAGAUCCAUGCUUUUCCCGUUGUUUCGCCCCAACCCGCAUAUCCCGCCCCUCGCCGCAGGCCUUGCCUGCCGCACACGAUGGGAAACGUGCCCAGCGAACGCCGUUUCCUUGGCGGUGGUGAUGGUGGGCACCUCUCCUCCGCCCUCUCCCUCAAACCGCUGUCAGAUCGGUGCGCGAGGUCGACCUCGCCGAGGCAGUGCGCCCGUGCGUAUCUUGCCCCGCGCGUGGAGAGAGGAGGGAGGGAGUGCCACUCGUGGCAGUGGAUGAAUGAUGGCGAGCGAUGAAGCACCUUCAUGAAAAGUCUCUCCGUGCACCUCUUCCGGUGCGAUGCUGACAUGCAUGUGUCAG